rnacentral:rRNA from 1 species
AGAGUUUGAUCCUGGCUCAGAUUGAACGCUGGCGGCAGGCCUAACACAUGCAAGUCGAACGGUAGCACAGAGAGCUUGCUCUCGGGUGACGAGUGGCGGACGGGUGAGUAAUGCCUGGGAAAUUGCCCAGUCGAGGGGGAUAACAGUUGGAAACGACUGCUAAUACCGCAUACGCCCUACGGGGGAAAGCAGGGGACCUUCUGGCCUUGCGCGAUUGGAUAUGCCCAGGUGGGAUUAGCUAGUAGGUGGGGUAACGGCUCACCUAGGCGACGAUCCCUAGCUGGUCUGAGAGGAUGACCAGCCACACUGGAACUGAGACACGGUCCAGACUCCUACGGGAGGCAGCAGUGGGGAAUAUUGCACAAUGGGCGCAAGCCUGAUGCAGCCAUGCCGCGUGUAUGAAGAAGGCCUUAGGGUUGUAAAGCACUUUCAGCGAGGAGGAAAGGUUGAUGCCUAAUACGUAUCAACUGUGACGUUACUCGCAGAAGAAGCACCGGCUAACUCCGUGCCAGCAGCCGCGGUAAUAC